rnacentral:rRNA from 1 species
UACGUAGGGUGCGAGCGUUGUCCGGAUUUAUUGGGCGUAAAGAGCUCGUAGGCGGUUUGUCGCGUCGGCCGUGAAAUCUCCACGCUUAACGUGGAGCGUGCGGUCGAUACGGGCAGACUUGAGUUCGGUAGGGGAGACUGGAAUUCCUGGUGUAGCGGUGGAAUGCGUAGAUAUCGGGAGGAACACCAGUGGCGAAGGCGGUUGCCUGGGGCUUUGCUGACGCUGAUGCGCGAAAGCGUGGGGAGCGAGUCCGG